rnacentral:rRNA from 1 species
AGUGAACGCUGGCGGUAGGCCUAACACAUGCAAGUCGAACGGCAGCACAGUAAGAGCUUGCUCUUACGGGUGGCGAGUGGCGGACGGGUGAGGAAUACAUCGGAAUCUACUUUUUCGUGGGGGAUAACGUAGGGAAACUUACGCUAAUACCGCAUACGACCUACGGGUGAAAGCAGGGGAUCUUCGGACCUUGCGCGAUUGAAUGAGCCGAUGUCGGAUUAGCUAGUUGGCGGGGUAAAGGCCCACCAAGGCGACGAUCCGUAGCUGGUCUGAGAGGAUGAUCAGCCACACUGGAACUGAGACACGGUCCAGACUCCUACGGGAGGCAGCAGCGGGGAAUAUUGGACAAUGGGCGCAAGCCUGAUCCAGCCAUACCGCGUGGGUGAAGAAGGCCUUCGGGUUGUAAAGCCCUUUUGUUGGGAAAGAAGAGCAGCAGGUUAAUACCCCGCUGUUCUGACGGUACCCAAAGAAUAAGCACCGGCUAACUUCGUG